GGGCGGUUAACUCAGCGGUUAGAGUGCCAUCCUCACACGGUGGAAGUCACUGGUUCAAAUCCAGUACCGCCUA
rnacentral:tRNA from 1 species